GCUCAGAUUGAACGCUGGCGGCAGGCCUAACACAUGCAAGUCGAGCGGUAGCACAGGGAGCUUGCUCCUGGGUGACGAGCGGCGGACGGGUGAGUAAUGUCUGGGAAACUGCCCGAUGGAGGGGGAUAACUACUGGAAACGGUAGCUAAUACCGCAUAACGUCUUCGGACCAAAGUGGGGGACCUUCGGGCCUCACACCAUCGGAUGUGCCCAGAUGGGAUUAGCUAGUAGGUGAGGUAAUGGCUCACCUAGGCGACGAUCCCUAGCUGGUUAGAGAGGAUGNCCAGCCACACUGGAACUGAGACACGGUCCAGACUCCUACGGGAGG
rnacentral:rRNA from 1 species